rfam:Oryza punctata chromosome 10, whole genome shotgun sequence.
CACAUUUGCAGUCAUAAAUUUUCGUGUCCAACUUUGAUCGUCCGUCUUAUUUAAAAAUUUCUUAUAAGUAGUAUUUUUAUUGUUAUUAGAUGAUAAAACAUCAAUAGUACUUUAUGUGUGAGUGAUGUUUUGUAAUUUUUUCAAAAAAUUUUCAAAUAAGACAGACGAUUAAAGUUGAACACGGAAACUCAUGGCUACGCUUAAA